UGCUGGAGGUAUCAGAAGUGCGAAUGCUGACAUAAGUAACGAUAAAGCGGGUGAAAAGCCCGCUCGCCGGAAGACCAAGGGUUCCUGUCCAACGUUAAUCGGGGCAGGGUGAGUCGACCCCUAAGGCGAGGCCGAAAGGCGUAGUCGAUGGGAAACAGGUUAAUAUUCCUGUACUUGGUGUUACUGCGAAGGGGGGACGGAGAAGGCUAUGUCAGCCGGGCGACGGUUGUCCCGGUUUAAGCAUGUAGGCGGAGGUUCCAGGUAAAUCCGGUACCUUUUAACGCUGAGGUGUGAUGACGAGGCACUACGGUGCUGAAGUGAUAAAUGCCCUGCUUCCAGGAAAAGCCUCUAAGCAUCAGGUAACACGAAAUCGUACCCCAAACCGACACAGGUGGUCAGGUAGAGAAUACCAAGGCGCUUGAGAGAACUCGGGUGAAGGAACUAGGCAAAAUGGUGCCGUAACUUCGGGAGAAGGCACGCUGAUGUGUAGGUGAAGCCCCUGCGGGUGGAGCUGAAAUCAGUCGAAGAUACCAGCUGGCUGCAACUGUUUAUUAAAAACACAGCACUGUGCAAACACGAAAGUGGACGUAUACGGUGUGACGCCUGCCCGGUGCCGGAAGGUUAAUUGAUGGGGUUAGCGGCAACGCGAAGCUCUUGAUCGAAGCCCCGGUAAACGGCGGCCGUAACUAUAACGGUCCUAAGGUAGCGAAAUUCCUUGUCGGGUAAGUUCCGACCUGCACGAAUGGCGUAAUGAUGGCCAGGCUGUCUCCACCCGAGACUCAGUGAAAUUGAACUCGCUGUGAAGAUGCAGUGUACCCGCGGCAAGACGGAAAGACCCCGUGAACCUUUACUAUAGCUUGACACUGAACACUGGUCCUUGAUGUGUAGGAUAGGUGGGAGGCUUUGAAGCGUGGACGCCAGUCUGCGUGGAGCCAACCUUGAAAUACCACCCUUUAAUGGCUGGUGUUCUAACGUAGACCCGUUACCCGGGUUGCGGACAGUGUCUGGUGGGUAGUUUGACUGGGGCGGUCUCCUCCCAAAGAGUAACGGAGGAGCACGAAGGUUGGCUAAUCCUGGUCGGACAUCAGGAGGUUAGUGCAAUGGCAUAAGCCAGCUUGACUGCGAGCGUGACGGCGCGAGCAGGUGCGAAAGCAGGUCAUAGUGAUCCGGUGGUUCUGAAUGGAAGGGCCAUCGCUCAACGGAUAAAAGGUACUCCGGGGAUAACAGGCUGAUACCGCCCAAGAGUUCAUAUCGACGGCGGUGUUUGGCACCUCGAUGUCGGCUCAUCACAUCCUGGGGCUGAAGUAGGUCCCAAGGGUAUGGCUGUUCGCCAUUUAAAGUGGUACGCGAGCUGGGUUUAGAACGUCGUGAGACAGUUCGGUCCCUAUCUGCCGUGGGCGCUGGAGAAUUGAGGGGGGCUGCUCCUAGUACGAGAGGACCGGAGUGGACGCAUCACUGGUGUUCGGGUUGUCAUGCCAAUGGCACUGCCCGGUAGCUAAAUGCGGAAGAGAUAAGUGCUGAAAGCAUCUAAGCACGAAACUUGCCCCGAGAUGAGUUCUCCCUGAGACUUUAAGUCUCCUGAAGGAACGUUGAAGACGACGACGUUGAUAGGUCGGGUGUGUAAGCGCAGCGAUGCGUUGAGCUAACCGAUACUAAUGAACCGUGAGGCUUAACCUUACAACGCCGAAGGUGUUU
rnacentral:rRNA from 1 species